rnacentral:tRNA from 1 species
GCCCAACUGGCUUGGUUGGUAGAGCAUGUGACUCUUAAUCUCAGGCUUGUGAGUUCAAGCCCCAUGCUGGGUA